rnacentral:rRNA from 1 species
UACGGGGGGAGCAAGCGUUGUUCGGAUAUACUGGGCGUAAAGCGCACGUAGGCGGCGCCGUAAGUCAGGGGUGAAAUCCCGGAGCUCAACUCCGGAACUGCCCUUGAAACUGCAGUGCUAGAAUCUUGGAGAGGUGAGUGGAAUUCCGAGUGUAGAGGUGAAAUUCGUAGAUAUUCGGAAGAACACCAGUGGCGAAGGCGACUCACUGGACACGUAUUGACGCUGAGGUGCGAAAGCGUGGGGAGCAAACAGG